rnacentral:rRNA from 1 species
CCUACGGGAGACAGCAGUGGGGAAUAUUGCGCAAUGGGCGAAAGCCUGACGCAGCGACGCCGCGUGAGUGAUGAAGGUCUUCGGAUCGUAAACCUCUGUCAGCAGGGAAGAACGGUCACUGUGCUAAUCAUCAGUGAAUUGACGGUACCUGCAAAGGAAGCACCGGCUAACUCCGUUCCAGCAGCCGCGGUAAUACGGAGGGUGCGAGCGUUAAUCGGAAUUACUGGGCGUAAAGCGCUCGUAGGCGGUAUGUCAAGUCAAGUGUGAAAUCCCCGCGCUCAACGUGGGAACUGCCUUUGAAACUGGCAAACAUGAGUGUGUGAGAGGAUAGUGGAAUGCCAGGUGUAGGAGUGAAAGCCGUAGAUAUCUGGAGGAACAUCAGUGGCGAAGGCGACUAUCUGGCACAUAACUGAUGCUGAGGAGCGAAAGCGUGGGUAGCAAACAGGAUUAGAUACCCUGGUAGUC